UACAGAGGUCCCCGAGCGUUGUUCGGAUUCACUGGGCGUAAAGGGUGCGCAGGUGGGUUGGCAAGUUCGAUGUGAAAGCCCCGGGCUUAACCCGGGAAUGGCAUUGAAUACUGCCGAUCUGGAGGAUCGGAGGGGGGGACUGGAAUUCUUGGUGUAGCAGUGAAAUGCGUAGAUAGUCAAGAGGAACACCAGUGGCGAAGGCGAGUCCCUGGACGAUACCUGACACUGGAGGCGCGAAAGCUAGGGGAGCAAACAGG
rnacentral:rRNA from 1 species